rnacentral:rRNA from 1 species
GGAGGGGGAUAACUACUGGAAACGGUGGCUAAUACCGCAUAAUGUCGCAAGACCAAAGAGGGGGACCUUCGGGCCUCUUGCCAUCAGAUGUGCCCAGAUGGGAUUAGCUUGUUGGUGAGGUAACGGCUCACCAAGGCGACGAUCCCUAGCUGGUCUGAGAGGAUGACCAGCCACACUGGAACUGAGACACGGUCCAGACUCCUACGGGAGGCAGCAGUGGGGAAUAUUGCACAAUGGGCGCAAGCCUGAUGCAGCCAUGCCGCGUGUAUGAAGAAGGCCUUCGGGUUGUAAAGUACUUUCAGCGGGGAGGAAGGUGUUGUGGUUAAUAACCGCAGCAAUUGACGUUACCCGCAGAAGAAGCACCGGCUAACUCCGUGCCAGCAGCCGCGGUAAUACGGAGGGUGCAAGCGUUAAUCGGAAUUACUGGGCGUAAAGCGCACGCAGGCGGUCUGUCAAGUCGGAUGUGAAAUCCCCGGGCUCAACCUGGGAACUGCAUUCGAAACUGGCAGGCUUGAGUCUUGUAGAGGGGGGUAGAAUUCCAGGUGUAGCGGUGAAAUGCGUAGAGAUCUGGAGGAAUACCGGUGGCGAAGGCGGCCCCCUGGACAAAGACUGACGCUCAGGUGCGAAAGCGUGGGGAGCAAACAGGAUUAGAUACCCUGGUAGUCCACGCCGUAAACGAUGUCUACUUGGAGGUUGUGCCCUUGAGGCGUGGCUUCCGGAGCUAACGCGUUAAGUAGACCGCCUGGGGAGUACGGCCGCAAGGUUAAAACUCAAAUGAAUUGACGGGGGCCCGCACAAGCGGUGGAGCAUGUGGUUUAAUUCGAUGCAACGCGAAGAACCUUACCUGGUCUUGACAUCCACAGAACUUUCCAGAGAUGGAUUGGUGCCUUCGGGAACUGUGAGACAGGUGCUGCAUGGCUGUCGUCAGCUCGUGUUGUGAAAUGUUGGGUUAAGUCCCGCAACGAGCGCAAC